rnacentral:tRNA from 1 species
GGUUGCUUAGUGUAGUGGUUUAGUAAGUAUCUCUUUAAAGACUUGAUUAAUGUGCUCCACUAACGAGUAUCAGGCACAUCGGAUUCUGAUAACUUGGAAAUUUCCGGGGACACGAGUUCGAAUCUCGUAGCGACCU